AUAGGGAGGGAGGGACCGACCGCCAUGAGAAGGAGGGGAGCGCCCAGGGUCAGGCUUGGAAAACGUAAUUUAAGCGCACUGGGAGAUGAGUUCGGAAGACGAAAGGCUCAGAGGUGAACAAAAUACAGUCUCACGGGCCAGUGGAAACGAAUCUGAUUGGAUAGCUCGACAACGGGUCCCACCGUCCCCUGUGAUUGGAUGGAGUGUCUCGCAUUUUACAUUGUCCCUGAGAGGAGAGGAGCCCUUUGGAAAAGUCUGAAAAGCUAACAUUGAACUGGGACAUAACAGCAGCCUUGGGACAUCAGAGCCUGCUUGUGCCUGCUCUGCACUAUUGGAUGUUUUUAUGUGUACUACAUUAAGAGCUUCCAUCUCUCUGGACAAAGGGGAGAAGCGCUUCCGUGGUGGGUGGCCCCAAUUAAACCCUGUGCCUAGUGAGUUUCCGCCCAGGCUGACUGGAAGUCAGCCAGGGCUGAUUAGAGAGCAGGUACCUCAAAUGGCCCAGCACGGCCAUAAUGAAAUAGUCCUGGAAAAUUGCUAAAUGACAUAGAGGAAAAUCAUUACAAUUGAAAUGCCUCCCU
rnacentral:lncRNA from 1 species